rnacentral:rRNA from 1 species
GACGAACGCUGGCGGCGUGCUUAACACAUGCCAGUCGAACGUAAAGGCCCUGCUUUUGUGGGGUGCUCGAGUGGCGAACGGGUGAGUAACACGUGAGUAACCUGCCCUUGACUUUGGGAUAACUUCAGGAAACUGGGGCUAAUACCGGAUAGGAGCUCCUGCUGCAUGGUGGGGGUUGGAAAGUUUCGGCGGUUGGGGAUGGACUCGCGGCUUAUCAGCUUGUUGGUGGGGUAGUGGCUUACCAAGGCUUUGACGGGUAGCCGGCCUGAGAGGGUGACCGGCGACAUUGGGACUGAGGUACGGCCCAGACUCGUACGGGAGGCAGCAGUGGGGAAUAUUGCACAAUGGGCGGAAGCCUGAUGCAGCAACGCCGCGUGCGGGAUGACGGCCUUCGGGUUGUAAACCGCUUUCGCCUGUGACGAAGCGUGAGUGACGGUAAUGGGUAAAGAAGCACCGGCUAACUACGUG